CCCUUUUCAAAUUUAAAUUAAUUUUGGCAUAUCUGAAACAAUGCUUGUUGAAGAAGGGAAGAGUUGAUCCAACAACCUUAAGUAAGAUGUCAACAACUAAAAGUUUCAAAUACAAUCUAUAUUUUAAAAAUCUUAGUAAUGUUUGCCGAAAUGGAGAUAAGGUUUUGUGAUACAUUUAUGCCACCAGUUAUAUACUUGAGGUUUCAUGGGAUUUCUGAAAAUUUCACUUUUAUGUCCUACUGCUGACGGUGUGGGACCCACCUGUCAGUGACAGAGCCGAGCCGUGGAUGGUCGAUCGCAACUCGCAACGGAAGAGGAAGCGAGCGAGCGAUCGAUCACCGGCGGCGUAGUGGCUCCUCCGGUGGCGCCCGCCGCCGGCAACCCCAGCCGCCGCCUCGUGACGGUUCGGCGCAGCUCUUUCUCUGAGGUUGAUGCGAGGAGAUCGCGGUGGGGAGAUAGGGGAGAGGCCAGUGGUGAGAGCGUUCGAGAAUUGGUUGCUCGCCCGCCGGGUGUUCGACGUAAUGUCGCGCCGGGAUGCAGUGCAAACUGUACAGAUCGUCGUUCUCGCGGGUGCCGGAUGCGGGGUUUGCUACGGCGGUGUGUUCCCGCGAGGAAAGCUAUCUCACUCUCAGCUGGUAGGGCUUUAAUCAAAUAUCAUGUGUUCGUGUCUGCCGCGUACCAUCACACUAUGGAUCAUCUAUAUGCAAUUAUGGGCUGUCCCAUUGGGCCUAGCCCUCUAGGUUGAAAUUUGUGUCUCAUUUGGCAUGUGCGGACUUUGGUUAAAAGGCUGAUUGAACCAUUGACUUCAUGCAUGUUCCAGGUUAGUAAUUCGUAGUUCUGAGUUCAGUAUUCAAAGUGCAGCAAAUAGUUGAUGAGUAAAUACUUUUCCAUUCAAAGCAUUGUGGUCCCUGAGAAGCUGAGACAGGUAUCUUCAUGCUAUUUUUCCGUGUUAGUCUAGUGUCUGCUAUUCUAGUUUAGCAUAACUCAUCUUGCAGAUUAAUCAACCAGGUAUGAUCAUCUAGACCUUUAUUACAGACUAAGAAGAUAUGUUCUCAUCUUGGACUGAGAAAAAUGUAAAUGCUAUUGGUCAUUCUCUUGUAUCCAUAUACUGAAGCUGUAGCCUCAGAACUAUUCAGCUUUAUACUUUCACAGUAAAACUCUAGUCUUCUGAAGUGAUUAUAAUGUUCUUAAGCAAUAUUUGCAUAACAUAUAUAAAAAUAGUCAGAUUUUUUUGAACCUUGGUUUCAAGGUGAUAUUAAAGACAUGCAGGUUCCUAAAUAUACUUCAAAAUAUUUAUGCAAUAUUGUACAGUACUCUACGAGUAGCAGCCUGAUAGUAUGUGAUAUCGUGAUCCAUAUCAAUAAAAUACUCUGAUAUGUCAUUUAUUUUUCAUAAAUUAGCACGUGAUACAAAUGGUUUCUCACAUUAUUCAUCAUUUUGUAAACAUGUCUGUUGUUCAUAAUUGUAGCUAAUGCAUAACUAACCAUUGUUUCUAAUAACACUUAUUAGCUUUAUUUAGCUCUACCUCUGGUAGCAAGUUACCCUUUUCAUCAUUAUUUCUUUGUCUUCUAGGCAAUCUAUAGAUCAUUCUAGGACAUUGUUUCCUUUCAAUGAAAAAUGCAGGGAUCAUUGCUCCAGUUAAAGGUGGAGUAGGACUUAAAACUACCAUAACUUUCAAAGAGAACCCUAUCUAAACACACCCCUAACAUCUGAGUCAGUCAGCUUUCUGGGACCAGUCCUAUCUUGUAAAUGUGGUUGCCAGCUUCCUGACCUAUUGCUACUUUCAUUUUGCCAGGCCCUGCUUCGUACAACCUGGAAAUGGCAAAACUAAUUAGUAAUGAAUAUUAAUCUUCAUCAUUACCUGAAAAUAGCAAAUCAGACGAGAGAUUAUAUUAAUUUAAUGCCAGAUCUGGUGUGAUUCAUGGCUAAUCAGUAGAGGAAAAUAAUUUACCAACCUGGUUAUACUAUUCAGAAUAUGUCGGCUCUAUUGUGUACCUACCACCUACCAUGUCUGCAGUCAACAUAUCUGGAGAUCUUCACAAAUCAGAUCGUGCACAGAUAUAUGGUCCACUCCGCUUCUUUCGGACAAAAUUUGGGCAUGGUGCACUCAAAUUCUCUGAGUCUGAUGAUCCCAUGGGCUCGUCAACAUCAACAAGGGUUGAGUGCGUUGUCUCAUCAUCAGCAUCAUGAGGAAUGAAGAAAUCUGGACCAAGCUGCAAGGUCUUGCAUGGACGCAAGUAUGCUGACAGGUCUUUCUUUUGCCGUAAUAUAUAUUCCACCUGAAAUGGAUGCAUAAUGUUAAUAAUUUCCAUAUGUGCUCCCCCAAAAAUCUAAGUAAGCUCAAAUUGUGUUUAAUGACUAUCUGAACAUAUUUACAUAUUACAAGUUUAGAAUACAUGCAUACUACAUUUAAUCUUAACAAUGCAUAUUGAAGGAAGUUGUUAUAUAUUAAGGAAAUGAGAAAUUAUCGAAGCUGAGAUCACUUGCAAUAUGGAUAUGGCACAUAAUUGUUGCAUCUGAAGCAUUUUCCUCUUGGUAAUUGGCAUAAAGCUGCUAAUAUGAUUUGUUUUUUUUUUAAAAGUUCUUUCUAGUUCUCAGUUAAUCUGUGAUUGGUUUCUUCGGGUAGCCGGACCAAUGUGUAUAUGCAUGUGAAACAAGUUGCAUCUAAACACAGAAUAACGAUAUCAUAAUUCCAGCCAAUCACCUUGCAAUCCAGAGAGCAGUGGAAAUAGGGUUCUUGGAGGCUUCUAUCGCAAGAGCCUUCCAGGUGUGGAUUUGAUGAGGACUGCAAUGGUCUGUCCCAGGUGUGCUUCUGUCAAGAGAUUGGCCCAUUGUCCCUGAAAGGGAACAGCUGUUUCAUCACUCCCUUUCUCUGCACAAUGAUGGUGUUGAAUGCAGAUGAAAUGGGGAUUAGAGGAGAAAGUGUCAGAUAAAGAAAGCAUCAGAACAUGACAUGUGAAUGAGGUACAUAAUACGUUGCCAAUGCUCUGUAUAUAUCAUCAGUGGUGCAUGCAUAAAUAGGAAAGCUACAUCGAGAUUCUCCUUUCUAAAAUGCAAAGAAACCUGAAGCUUUAUUCAGAGAGAGAUUGGAAUUUGCUAAAGCUUUUUAUUUAUUUUACAUUAUUAUAUUUUUAUGACAAGGCUAAAGCAUGAAUUGGGGAAUGGGAUACAUGCAUGUACCUAUCAAUAAUCCAUGGAAUAACAACAACCCGGUUCUUGUGAUAGCAAAGCUCCAAAGCCUACAACCUUUUAAUUUCCCCUAGCAUCCAGCUACUAGGAUUUGACCUAAAAAUCACGUUGUUAAUCUGUCUAAGCAAAUUAAGGACCAGCUGCUAAUUAGCCCCCAUGAGUAAUGGGUAAGCAAUGGAUGUUGUUGUUUCUUGUUUCUAGCUGUAGCCUCCUUGUAGGUCACCCUAUUAUUUGAUCAUGCAUCUGGUUUUACUACUAGCUAUAGCUUGUUGGGUCACACACUACACCCAAGUAGACAUCUCAUUAUAAUAUUAUAAUCAUGCCAUUAUUUUAGUAAA